GUGGUGUCACAUAAGAACACGAUGUCAGCCUCCUUGUAAGCCUGGCACCUUCAUGUCCUUUAUGCUGGAGGAGAAAACUCACCCAAUAACUUCUGCCAGCAAUUGCCUCAUUUCAACUCCUAAAGCACUAGUUGUGUGGGCCAUGUCUUUGUCACUUAGGUACAUGUUGUCUUACGCCAUCUCUGACGCCACCAUCCUUCCUAUUUGUCCCUGUAGUGGCUGCAUUUGAAGCACUUGUUUCCUGUGGCCACUGUGGCAUGUCCGAGGCACCCCCUGUAACCUCUUCAUCAGCCUUGCCUUCUCCUGCUGAAGGGCCGAUGGAUUUUCUUGGAAGCCAUGUGUGCUGCAUGAACAAGAGCAAACUGGGAGGAAACGAUAAGGCCUCACGGCCUCACCUGAUUCCUGCAGUCGUUUCGAGUGGUUCUGGGCUAUUAUUUUCAUGUGCCAGGAAUAAAAAGCAUUAGAACGAUGACCCUUCUAGAAGCACAGAUGGAGUAUACUGAGGUUCUGGGACUGGCGGCUCAGCCACAUAAAUUUUGGAGAAAAAAAUAAUUUUCCUAAGCGGAUUCUCGUCAGUAGCCAAGGUUGAAAACCUGCUGAACUAAAGUCAUCACAAGAAAACAAGUGAUUCAGCUAGCUGUGCUUGUCCUUGGCCUCACUCGAUUGAUUUUCCAAUCAACCUUCUUUUACACUGGAUUGAUUUUUCUUUGUGUUCUACCCUGGAGGCUGCUUUGGCAAAAUCCUCAAAGGAGUCACAUUGCUUACCGCACCUCAGAUCAAAGUCAUUUACCAGUACAACUAAAGCAAUAACAAAGCACCCAAUUUUAUAUGGGAGAUUUCAUUAUGCAUGGUGCUUAAGUCUUUGUGAUAAAACUCUUUGGUGUGCUCAGAUAAGAAAACUAUUGCUUUUAUUAUUAUUAUUAUUUGAGCCAACAAGCAAUCUACUUGGUCACUGGCAGUGACAGCAGCCAGUGUGGCGUGGAGGUGAAAUUGAACUCUUAUUCCUGCAGUUUGUCAUGCUUGGUCAUAAGAAUGCACCAGCACUGGGAUGUAACUCAGUGGAAAAACACCUAUCUAGCAUGCAUAAGGCCCUGGGUUUGAGCCCCAGAACUGAAAACCAAACCAAGCCAAACCAAUCAAACAAACCAAAGAUGACGUAGUGGCACAACCCAAAAUUCCAUCCACUUGGGGGUUGGAGAUCCCAAGGAUUGAGGCUUAAUGCCAGCCUGGACAAAAAGACAGUGAAACUCCAUCUCAACAAACCAGCAGAGUGUGGUGGCAUGAGUCUGCAAUCCAGGCUAUGUGGGACAUGUAAGUACAAGGAUUGAAGUCCAAGACAAAAAAUGAGAGACCCUAUCUGAAAAAUAACUAAAACAAAAAGGGCUGGGGACAUGACUCAAGUGGCAGAGCACUUACCUAGCAAGUGCCAGGUCCUGAGUUCAAACCUGAGAACUGAAGAAUAAAAAAAAAAAAAGGAAUGCA
rnacentral:lncRNA from 1 species